ACACCUGUUCCCAUACCGAACACAGAAGUAAAGUCUUCCAGCGCCGAAAGUACUUGGUGGGUAACUGCCUGGGAGGAUAGGACGUUGCGGGGU
rnacentral:rRNA from 1 species